GAUAACACACAGGCAAGCGAGUUAAAGAAAAAUUAUAAUAAAGAACACUCUAAUUUGGUCUCUUUCCUGCUUCUUUUUUGCUCUAGGCCUUCAUCUGCCCCAUAAACACAUGAAGGGAUGCAUUCAACUUCAAAAACUCAUUCAUCACAAUGUUAUAUUCUGAGGACUCUGGUGUCAUGUUCUAUAAGAGAAGAAAUAUGGGAAGGUUAUUGCAGAAACUCAUCAGUGUAUAUCCAAAGCACAGGUCCUGCUCGGACAGGCGUCUGUGCCCUUCUGUGCUCCGUACCUGUGACUUCCAUUUUAACUGAGAGCUUUGUGGGCAAUGAGGGUGUCAGUCCACCGUGAGGGGCAGUCAUACCUUGGUCACCGCCGUACACCUCCAGCAUGCUGUUGUUCAGGGACACCUUCAGAAGAAAGAGAGAAAGUAAGUCUAGAUUUACACACGGACAUUAAAUCUUCACCAUGUGUAGUUCUUCUGCAUGUAUGUAAUCUUUUAUCCAGUCUAUCUUGCUCCACGUGUAAUACGUUUGGUGUUUUGUUACAUGCAUGAUUUUUUUAUGCAGACUUACUGUAUAUUAAGAGUAAAAACCUAAAACAACACCAGACAUUCUCUGUUCAUCAGACUUCGACUUCAACUUAUUACACACUGAUUUUGUGGAAUAAAAUGUGUUGAUUAAAGCAUAAUCAAAUGUAAAACAUAACACAAGGAUGUGUAGGAUGUUAUGAAUGAUGGGCGUUUAAAUCCUGGAUAUAUGCAGCGCUAACAUACAAACCUUGUAAUUAAAUAUUAUUCAAAAAGUUGUAAAUAAAACAAAGAUUAUUGGAGUACAUUUUACUAGAAAACACUAUUUCAGUUUUUCUACUUCCCAAUUUUUACACAUAAAUCAAUGCUGUUUCUUUGUAGUUGAAAAAAAUAGUUUCCACACCAUUUUUUGUGCAAUUCAAUAUAAGUUUUAAAUGAGCUGAGAAAAUCAGCAAAAAGAUGCAGCACUUCAAGAGACAAAAGAGGGCGCUGUGGAGCAAGUGAUUUUUAUUUAUUUGUUUGUUUUUGCUAAACAAAAAUAAACAAAGAUAUUAUUAUAGUUUGCAUUACUAUUUUGAAUUAUUUUUUAUUUUUAUUGUGAUUUUCUAUUUUCAUUUUAAAUUUUAGUAAAAGUUUUAGUAAUUUUGUUGUGGUUUUGUAGUUUUUAUUUUAUUUUUUAAUAUCUAUAGAGUUCUAUACAUUUCAGUUAUUUUAGUACAAAUUAAACUAAAUGAAAAUGAGAAAUACUGCCUAGGCAACUAGCCAAAAUCAUUUUUUUUAAAAUAUAUAAUACAUGUAUAUUAAGUUAAAGAUUAUUAUUAUUAUUAACUAUAAUAAGCCUGAAUUGAGUAUGAUUUUUUUUUCUUCCCUGACUACCAAUCCCACAAAAGCCAGAGCUGUGGAAAGCCAAUUUCUGUCAGCGUCAUGGAUGAAAAAGCGAAGUGUACAGGAUUAAAGAGGAGGUCAGAGCGUUACAGCAGGCGUUAUAGUGUUUCCUCCGCUCGUACACGCUCUCCAUUAUCUCAGUGGGGGAAAGAGCUCGCUUAUCAACAUGAAAGAUUGCCACGGCCCCUUGACUGUUCGCGUCGUAAUCGCUUCAAUCCAUUCCCAUCAUGUUAGCAGAUAUGUUGACACGGGGAAGCGGCUUGAUGCGUCGUGCUGUAUUACUAAUUAGAACGAAUUGAUCCGUUUAAGCAUGCUAUCAUUUCUGAACAAGUCCACUGGGAGAGAAGAUAUUAGCUCAAUCCGAUGCUCGACUGCUUACUCAGAUACAAAACUCUCGCUCGCUCUUUCUCUCUCUCUAUCUGCCUUAUUCGUUCCCGUCAUGCUCUUUAUUUUGUUCAACAGUAUCACAUACCUCUCUAGUGAGUUCAGGUGUUGCUGUAAUCACGGCUCAAGAGAUGCUUUGUCCCUCCACAGACGUCAGUAUGACCUUUACAAUUUCAUGCUGGUCUCACACAUACUUGGGCCGCUUGUGUGCGCACAUGCUUACCUAAGGCUUUUCUCCUUCUGUUUUGGAGAAGUGAUCACUCAUUAACAUAGUCGGGCUCUUCUAAGACAUACCUCUCUGCAUGCCCACAUCAUUACCAGACUAAUCUGUAUUGUUCCACUGUUUAAAGCCUGAGAUUUAAGUCUGGUUCCCCUUUGACUCUCAGCUGGACUCGGUGUGACCUCACGCAAAGACAAACCCCUUUUCGCAAGCAUACCAAAGACCAGCACGUGUUUGUGUUAUUAAUGUGUUUAAUUCAUUAUAUAUGAAUGUAGCUUACAUUUUGGAUUCAGACAUGUUUUAUUCAUCUAAAUGUGUGUAUAUUUACGGUCGCGGCAGCCGUUGUGUGAAGACCGAAGACGGACAGGGACACCGGCAAAGGAUAUAAGUAUCGCCUAUUAUUUUUUCCUCUUUCCUACUACUUGUUUCACUUCUGUUUCAGUUUUUAUAACCAUUCCUUACCAUGUGUAAGUAAGUUGUUGUUGUUUUUUUAGCAUGUGUGUUUGGCUCAGUGUUAUUUUUUAGGAUUACUGAUAAACUAAUGUAGUUUGAUUUGUAUUUGUUAUCUAUUUUAGCUUUAGUUACAGUUGUAGUAAUGUUGUCAUUUUAUUAGUUUUUUUAUGUCUGUCUAAGUUUUAGUUUUAUUUAAUUCGAGUUAUUUUAGUACUUCAGCAUACUACAUGGAAAUGAAAUAAUAUAUAUAUUGAAUUUAUAUAUAUAUAUAUAUAUAUACAGAGCUGGGUAGUAACUGAUUACAUGUAAUCUGGAUUACAUAAUCAGAUUCCAAAAAUUAAGUACUUGUAAUUAGAGUAAGUUACAUUUUAAAAUACUCAUAAUCAGACUACAGUUACUUUUUUAUGGAUUACAUGAUUACAUAUUAUUCACACAAUAGCAAUACAUUAUUCAUAAUUCAUUGAUUCUCCCUAAUUUCUCUUUUUCAUCUUUUAAAUUUUCAUUUCUAAAAUAGCCUAGCAAUUAUAUACAUAUUAUAUAUGUAUAAAUAGUCCAGUUUUGUGGACAUUCACACAAAGAUCAGUCAUUAGUCAGGUGGCGACCACUGGACCACUGGAUUUACAAAAAUCAUUUCAGGUUUAAGAAGGGUUUCAACAUUGCAUCAGCUACUGAUGAACACAUUCAUUUUUAUUUGAAUUAUUACUCUGUAGGUUUUUUUAACCAUGUAUUAUUAAUUAUAACUAAUUAAAAUGCACAUAUUCACAUUAUUUCUUAGUUACAUGCAAUGCAGGCAUUCCAAAACUUUUCGUCAUCUAAACCUUAUUCACCAAAUAUAUUUGCUUUAAGUACCCCCAAGAUUUUAAAAUAAAUAUUUCAAUAAUUAAGUAUCACAUUUGCAUGUUCACGGUUUCUUUUAUGUCGAUUAAUGAUCACAUGGCAUGCAGGUAAAUAAAAAUAUUUCAUCUUUUUUAGUAAGUGUUUUAUUUAAAACAAUGACUAUAAAUACAAAGACGGUUCUCUCCUAUACUUAUGAAUGAGAGAAACUGCAACGUGCAAUAUGGAGGAAUAGUCCCACCUUCUAAAUGAAAGAGCCAAAUUUCCCAUAAAAACCUGACUAGACCAGCCAAUGCACAUGCGCUGUAUAAGCACGUUAGGACUCCGCAUGCGCAUUGGCUGGUCUAGCCUGAAAAAUAAGCUUUUAAACGCUAUUUGAGCAUAAGAGACAACAUUCAUGGGGCAAUUAAUUUCAGAUUUUUGUUGCUGAUUUAAUUGUGGUUUCAGCGAGCGAGGAUUCCCCCAUUCAUUAAGAUAGGUCUUGUACGAGCUGAUCGUUUAUCACUAAAUCAAUGUGAUCAACGAGUUAAAUCAAAAGUAAUCCAAAAGUAAUCCAAAAGUAAUCUGAUUAUAUUACCUAAAAUGUGUAAUGUAACGGAUU